AUAGCGUAUAUUAAAGUUGUUGCAGUUAAAACGCUCGUAGUUGAACUUCAGACCUGGCUGGGCGGUCCGCUUAACGGCGUGUACUGUCCGGCUGAGUCUUACCUCUUGGUGAGCCAGUGUGCCCUUUAUUGGUGUGCAUUGGGGAACCAGGACUUUUACCUUGAGAAAAUUAGAGUGUUCAAAGCAGGCCUAUGCCUGAAUACAUUAGCAUGGAAUAAUAAAAUAGGACGUGCGGUUCUAUUUUGUUGGUUUCUAGAGUCGCCGUAAUGAUUAAUAGGGAUAGUUGGGGGCAUUGGUAUUGAGUCGCUAGAGGUGAAAUUCUUGGAUUGACUCAAGACCAACUAUUG
rnacentral:rRNA from 1 species